rnacentral:rRNA from 1 species
AUUGAACGCUGGCGGCAUGCCUUACACAUGCAAGUCGAACGGCAGCACGGGAGCAAUCCUGGUGGCGAGUGGCGAACGGGUGAGUAAAGUAUCGGAACGUGCCCAGUCGUGGGGGAUAACGUAGCGAAAGUUACGCUAAUACCGCAUACGAUCUAUGGAUGAAAGCGGGGGAUCGCAAGACCUCGCGCGAUUGGAGCGGCCGAGAUCAGAUUAGGUAGUUGGUGGGGUAAAGGCUCACCAAGCCGACGAUCUGUAGCUGGUCUGAGAGGACGAGCGGCCGAACAGGGACAGAGGAACGGCGCAGAGUUCUAGGGGAGUCAGGAGUGGGGAAUUUUGGACAAUGGGCGCAAGCCCGAACCAGCGAUGCAGCGUGGAGGAGUAAGUCCUGCGGGUUGUAAGCUGCUAUUGUACGGAACGAAAAGGUGUGACUUAAUACGUUGGUCUCAUGACGGUACCGUAAGAACAAGCACCGGCUAACUACGUGCCAGCAGCCGCGGUAA